rnacentral:sRNA from 1 species
UUUGAACUGGCUUCUAACAUUGCUACUCUUCCUUUGCCAUCCAUCUUUCUUCACGAAAGUACCGCAUCAAUUCGCGGUGCGUAAAAGAUAGCGAAGUAGAAAAGGGGGAAAUCCCGCAAGCAACGAUAUGGCGAAUACAAUCAAUUCAAGGACUUAGAAGACAACAGUAUAACCGACCGGAAACUGAUGUAUCCGGGUAUGGUUGACUAUUAACUGGUGGAGAAUCACAACCGGAAUAUCAUAUAUCAUGCUUUCCGAGGCCCACUACUUCUGCUGGUCGCUUCAGCGAUUGGAAGACAAACACAACUUCGACUGAUGAUUUUUUCGAACGAGCUACAUCCCUAUCUGCCAUGAUGUGUGACCAACAACAUCUAUAUCGUCAAAUACCUUCCAGACGAUAUCUUAGCCCAUGGUCCUGUUUACGGACGGCGGGUGUUUGCUCUCUAGCCUAUCAACGGCCGAAUCAAAAACAUUAAGAUGAGCGCUCGAAACAUGUUUCAGGAGCAGGUGGUCGAACUGCGUUCUCUUCUCCGCCAACGGUUCGCCCUUCUACGUUCUGAACAGCUUGGUCACCUCGGAGUUGGAGCCCGCCGAAAAGCAGUUGGGGGGGCAGCUGAUCGAGGGCUAUCGGAAAAGUGGAAUCGACAUGGGAAUGGACAGUGACGUCGACGAUCUUCGCCUGUACGACAAUAGCGGUCUUGGUCAACAAUUUUCGAUUGACUUAUUGUCACAGGGCUAUUGAAGGGGGAGCUCGAUGUGCUCGAUGUCACUUCAUUAAAGCAUAAUUUACCUCAAAAGUCCUGUCGUACGCUUGGGCUCCAUGGUGGUCGAAUUGACUACAGCUUUGGAGCAGCAUACAAGAAAGGCGACAGAUCUCGUUUCCCGUUUUCCCAUCGUCAUGGCAGCGUGAGGAUCGUAGAUGCUGGAUAAUUCGUAUGGAUACGAGAAGUGGCAUCGAUGUAUAUUGUCAAAUGGACGUAGGCGUUGCAAUGGGGCAUCGAGGAAUAUAAGCCAGACUGUAUGCCCACAGCUCCAUUUGGGGCCAUAAGGGUUUCUCCUCAAAGGAUCAGGCCGUCUCCAGCUAUUUCUCCCUCAAGUCAAUCAUAUUUACUGUUACCCUAUUAUCAGAAAUACCAAGGAUGUCCUUAUCACCCUUGACUUGCUCUUCUUCAGGCCGGUGUUUGCAUGUCCAAUUGGACGAAAGGGUUUAGAGCGAGGGGUUUAUUACCAAAAGUGACUCGCUCGACACUGUGACUAGCCUACAGACAGAUUAUUGAGAAUAUCGUCGAUUCUAUCGAAGGUUUGGCUAAUGAUCAGAAGAAAUGAGCGCACCUCAUUCCCAAAACAGCUAAGAAACAUCCAAUUAACUGAAGCGGUAAGGGUGUCCUCACCAUCGACAUCGAUAACGACCUUGGCAUUCUUCUCACUGGGGUCGAAAAAGCUGCUCUCCUACAAGGGGCUAUCGAGAUCCUCCAGGGUUUCCUCUGCGCGGUAUGCGACCUUCUUCAUAAUCUAAGGAAUAACCUUCUCACUGGUACAGAAGUCCUGGUAACGUGAAUAAAACUUUGUGUUGGAUGUACAUUGCGUAGGCCUCAUUCUCGGCUAAAAUCAAGAUGUGUUCGGCAAGCGCGCUGGUGUAAAAACUCUUUCUCUUUCGUUCUCACCUCUGCGUAUUGGUGAAACAUGCAUUAAACCAGUCUUCUCGUAAACUUUGAGCCCCUUGGAAGCUGUUUAAGAGUAAUUUGAAGGAUAGAAUGCA